GGCUCAGAUUGAACGCUGGCGGCAGGCCUAACACAUGCAAGUCGAGCGGUAGCACAGAGAGCUUGCUCUCGGGUGACGAGCGGCGGACGGGUGAGUAAUGUCUGGGAAACUGCCUGAUGGAGGGGAAUAACUACUGGAAACGGUAGCUAAUACCGCAUAACGUCGCAAGACCAAAGUGGGGGACCUUCGGGCCUCAUGCCAUCAGAUGUGCCCAGAUGGGAUUAGCUAGUAGGUGGGGUAACGGCUCACCUAGGCGACGAUCCCUAGCUGGUCUGAGAGGAUGACCAGCCACACUGGAACUGAGACACGGUCCAGACUCCUACGGGAGGCAGCAGUGGGGAAUAUUGCACAAUGGGCGCAAGCCUGAUGCAGCCAUGCCGCGUGUAUGAAGAAGGCCUUCGGGUUGUAAAGUACUUUCAGCGGGGAGGAAGGCGAUAAGGUUAAUAACCUUGUCGAUUGACGUUACCCGCAGAAGAAGCACCGGCUAACUCCGUGCCAGCAGCCGCGGUAAUACGGAGGGUGCAAGCGUUAAUCGGAAUUACUGGGCGUAAAGCGCACGCAGGCGGUCUGUCAAGUCGGAUGUGAAAUCCCCGGGCUCAACCUGGGAACUGCAUUCGAAACUGGCAGGCUAGAGUCUUGUAGAGGGGGGUAGAAUUCCAGGUGUAGCGGUGAAAUGCGUAGAGAUCUGGAGGAAUACCGGUGGCGAAGGCGGCCCCCUGGACAAAGACUGACGCUCAGGUGCGAAAGCGUGGGGAGCAAACAGGAUUAGAUACCCUGGUAGUCCACGCCGUAAACGAUGUCGAUUUGGAGGUUGUGCCCUUGAGGCGUGGCUUCCGGAGCUAACGCGUUAAAUCGACCGCCUGGGGAGUACGGCCGCAAGGUUAAAACUCAAAUGAAUUGACGGGGGCCCGCACAAGCGGUGGAGCAUGUGGUUUAAUUCGAUGCAACGCGAAGAACCUUACCUGGUCUUGACAUCCACAGAACUUAGCAGAGAUGCUUUGGUGCCUUCGGGAACUGUGAGACAGGUGCUGCAUGGCUGUCGUCAGCUCGUGUUGUGAAAUGUUGGGUUAAGUCCCGCAACGAGCGCAACCCUUAUCCUUUGUUGCCAGCGGUUAGGCCGGGAACUCAAAGGAGACUGCCAGUGAUAAACUGGAGGAAGGUGGGGAUGACGUCAAGUCAUCAUGGCCCUUACAACCAGGGCUACACACGUGCUACAAUGGCAUAUACAAAGAGAAGCGACCUCGCGAGAGCAAGCGGACCUCAUAAAGUAUGUCGUAGUCCGGAUUGGAGUCUGCAACUCGACUCCAUGAAGUCGGAAUCGCUAGUAAUCGUAGAUCAGAAUGCUACGGUGAAUACGUUCCCGGGCCUUGUACACACCGCCCGUCACACCAUGGGAGUGGGUUGCAAAAGAAGUAGGUAGCUUAACCUUCGGGAGGGCGCUUACCACUUUGUGAUUCA
rnacentral:rRNA from 1 species